rfam:Bacteroides fragilis NCTC 9343, complete genome
GAUUGCAUUAAUUUCUUCUCUGUAAUCGCGGCUG